rnacentral:tRNA from 1 species
GUUAGGGUGGCAGAGCUGGUAACAGCAUAAAACUUAAACCUUUAUAAUCAGAGGUUCAACUCCUCUCCCUAACA